rnacentral:pre_miRNA from 1 species
UAGACAAGAAGAAUGAAAGAUUUCACCAGCCAUCAAAUGCCUGUCAAAUCAUUCAUUUCUUUUGUUU